GAUGAACGCUGGCGGCGUGCCUAAUACAUGCAAGUCGAGCGAACGGACGAGAAGCUUGCUUCUCUGAUGUUAGCGGCGGACGGGUGAGUAACACGUGGAUAACCUACCUAUAAGACUGGGAUAACUUCGGGAAACCGGGGCUAAUACCGGAUAAUAUUUUGAACCGCAUGGUUCAAAAGUGAAAGACGGUCUUGCUGUCACUUAUAGAUGGAUCCGCGCUGCAUUAGCUAGUUGGUAAGGUAACGGCUUACCAAGGCAACGAUGCAUAGCCGACCUGAGAGGGUGAUCGGCCACACUGGAACUGAGACACGGUCCAGACUCCUACGGGAGGCAGCAGUAGGGAAUCUUCCGCAAUGGGCGAAAGCCUGACGGAGCAACGCCGCGUGAGUGGUGAAGGUCUUCGGAUCGUAAAACUCUGUUAUUAGGGAAGAACAUAUGUGUAAGUAACUGUGCACAUCUUGACGGUACCUAAUCAGAAAGCCACGGCUAACUACGUG
rnacentral:rRNA from 1 species